UGGGGAAUUUUGGACAAUGGGCGAAAGCCUGAUCCAGCCAUGCCGCGUGAGUGAAGAAGGCGUUCGGGUUGUAAAGCUCUUUUAGUCGGAAAGAAAGAGUUGCAAUGAAUAAUUGUGAUUUAUGACGGUACCGACAGAAAAAGCACCGGCUAACUACGUGCCAGCAGCCGCGGUAAUACGUAGGGUGCGAGCGUUAAUCGGAAUUACUGGGCGUAAAGGGUGCGCAGGCGGUCUUGCAAGUCAGAUGUGAAAGCCCCGGGCUUAACCUGGGAAUUGCGUUUGAAACUACAAGACUAGAGUGCAGCAGAGGGGAGUGGAAUUCCAUGUGUAGCAGUGAAAUGCGUAGAGAUGUGGAAGAACACCGAUGGCGAAGGCAGCUCCCUGGGUUGACACUGACGCUCAUGCACGAAAGCGUGGGGAGCAAACA
rnacentral:rRNA from 1 species